UGGGGAAUCUUGCGCAAUGGCCUAACGGCUGACGCAGCGACGCCGCGUGCGGGAGGACGCCCCUCGGGGUGUAAACCGCUGUUGCCCGGGACGAACAGAGGGUUUCGACCCUCCUGACGGUACCGGGUGAGGAAGCGCCGGCUAACUCCGUGCCAGCAGCCGCGGUAAUACGGAGGGCGCGAGCGUUGUCCGGAAUCACUGGGCGUAAAGGGCGCGUAGGCGGCCCUGGCAAGUCUGCGGUGAAAGCCCGGGGCUCAACCCCGGGUCGGCCGCGGGUACUGCCGGGCUGGAGCACUGUAGGGGCGGGCGGAAUUCCGGGUGUAGCGGUGGAAUGCGUAGAGAUCCGGAAGAACACCGGUGGCGAAGGCGGCCCGCUGGGCAGUGGCUGACGCUGAGGCGCGACAGCGUGGGGAGCAAACAG
rnacentral:rRNA from 1 species